GGCAAGCUGAGAAGCAGACUGUGGCUUCCCGCUCAGGCCCAGAGAGGCAGAGCGGAGCCAGUAACUCAGCUGUACAUCUCCUCUGAAGGACAGCACCUCCGGCAGCACAAUGUAUCAAAACUUCAUGUUGGAGAAGCAGUUUGACACUGAUGGGAAGAGUGCUACUUAAUCAUCAUCCCUACUUCCUGCAGCAACCUAGCCAUUCCAUGGAGAUCUCCAUCUAGAGCUACAAUGACAUAUUGCCAGAGGCUGGCAGAAAAAUAGCUAAGCAAGAACAUGAUUAAAAGGAAAGCAUGAUUACAAAGACAAAUGGCACAUUUUGUAAGUCGGUCAUUAAAGAUGGAGAAACUGAGCCAGAGAAGUGAAGUGACUUUCCCAAUACCAUAGAGGGAACUGAUAUCAGAACCAGGAUUAUAGCUCAGCAAGUCUUGAGCCCCAGCCCUGCACUUAUUCUUCUGCAUGAUGCUGCCCUCUUUUUACUUGUCAAAGCAUCACAUUCAAAGUGUCAAUCUCCCCAGGGUCUAAGCCCUAAAUCCAUGGCUAAUUGCAUGCUUCUGUUGCUUAGGGCUCAUCUACACUGGGCGUGCUGCUUUAAUUAUACCAGGAUAGCUACAGUGGCAAAUUUCUCCUACUGUAGACAGUUAUAUCUAUACAAAAGUGACUAUACUGGUAAAUUCUAGUUCAGGAAGUGGAAUCCACUGCAUCCACAGCAGGGCUUACACUACUCUAGCUAUAUUGGUAAAUAUAUAUAUCUUGCACCGACAUAGUUAUACUGAUAACUUUUCCAGUUCAUAUCAGUCCUUAGUUGGAAUCACUUCUUAUUCAAGAGCCAAAAAACAGGACAUGCAUUCAGACUAGUCCAUGAGUCAAAAAGAGAAGCAACCUAGCUGCUUCAUUAAAUAAAGAUUGUGGCUCAAAAACAAAAUUUACUGUUCUCCAUCAUGCAGCCAAUUACCAUUAGUCUAGCACCCAAAAGGCUAACUUAGCAGGUAUCAGGAACUCGAGCAGUCUUCAUCUUUUACUAACAGUGGUAUUGCUUCAGAGGCUCAGUGGGAGUCAGAGGUAAACUAAACAUAAUAGACUGCUGGAGAUGUAGGACAAUAUUCAAAUUUAGUGCUCAUAAAUGUGACGUAAAUAAAUCUAUAGCUUUCUAUUUUAUAAGUUUCAUAAGGGCACAUAGUCUGGAGAACACAUCCACUGCGCAAAGAGACAAGCAGAUAAAAUACUGCAAGAAUGUUACUUUGUGAUAUCUGGCUAGCUAAGAAGAUUCUGGGAAAGAGUUUUCUGCCAAUAUGUCACCACCAACCACUUUAAUCAAGAGCAGACCAACUGCAACAUUUGGCCUGGAUUAAAAACUGCUCGUCUUCCUUAAAUAUGCAAACAAUCAAGGUGACACGUUAACCUGGCCAUAUAAAAACACUCAGUGAUUUGCAGUUCAAACAUAGACAACUCAGGAAACACAAUUAUCUUUUUAAUAUUCAGAAACAAAACAAAAUGCUUCUGCGUGCUUAAUAAAUCUUCAGACCCUGAAAAGUUAACAUCCAUUAACAACCACUGUCUUACUGGUUUUGCUUCAAGUUUUCAGAUGUACCAAUUUGUCUCUUCAAAGAGAAAAAACUGAUAGAAUCCAACGGAGUAGGCUGCUUUGCCAAAACUCCAUAGCACUUAUUACUGCAUAUAGUGGAUGCUGCAAUUGGUUUGGGUGGAAACACUUGGGUCAAAUAGUGUCAUAAUG